rnacentral:rRNA from 1 species
AUACCUGGAGUGACAGAUUGAGAGCUCUUUCUUGAUUCGGUGGAUGGUGGUGCAUAGCCGUUCUUAGUUGGUGGAGCGAUUUGUCUGGUUAAUUCCGAUAACGAACGAGACUCUAGCCUAUUAAAUAGGUGCGGGGUUCCCAGCACCUUACAACCUUCUUAGAGGGACAGCGGCUCCUAGCCGCACGAAACAGAGCAAUAACAGGUCUGUGAUGCCCUUAGAU